rnacentral:snRNA from 1 species
AUACUUACCUGGCAGAGGAGAUACCAUGAUCAUGAAGGUGGUUUUCCCAGGGUAAGGUUUUUGCGGGGGGGGGGGGCGCGAGUGUUUACCUCAGAGGCCAAACCGUGGAGCGGACUACUCCUUUUUAUACAGGGUCUAUCUUAUUCACUUGAGUAUUCCUUUA